GAGUUUUUGUCGCUUUCGCGCCAUGUGCUCAACUCAGUCAGUGUGUGACGCAGGACUUUCUGAGGGGAAUUUCAGUCAGUGUGUGACGCACUCUAAAUAGGCUACUGCGCGUGGAAAAUUGCAGAUACGAUGCAACAGCUAACAUCCAGUGAACCCAAAGGCUUUUUAUAGAGCCAUCCACCCUGCAUCACAGUUUCAUUGGCAGUUUGUCAAUCAGCACAUCUGGAUUUCCAGCGAAGAUUGCCUGAGGAACUAUGUACACUACUGAGUCGCUGCUGAGGAAGUGGCAGGUGUCAUUGAUCUCGGAGACCCCGAUGAUGUCCACCUCUGUAUCCUCUACCUGGCCCUCUGGGAUCUGUGGGGGGAGGGGGAUAUUAAUGAAUAUUAAAUUCUUGUUUAAUUGACCUGUUGCAUUAAAAAAGAUCACAUUUUAACUCUAGCCUAUUAUCAGAUUGCAGUCGUGCUGAUGAUCAGAACAGUUGAGCUUUUGUUCUUGUUAUAUUUAUUCAUUAAUGUAGGUUUACAGUUCCAAAAUGCAUGUUCUACUUGAAUGACAUAGCAGCAGUAAUGUGUGCAUUAAUUACCUUCACAGAAGUGUAUAUAGAGGAGUGAAAUUUCCCCUGCCCACUGCUAAUCAUACAGGGACGAAGGUGGGUCAGAAUCACUUCGUCACCUACAUAUAAUUCCGUCAGUGCCUCAUCCCUCCACAACGACACGUUGAAAAGUUUCUGUCCACACUGCAUUUGGAUAUCGAGAAUGGGCACAUGGGUGCGUGUCAUCCUCACGCCACGCACCUAGAAAAUUAAAAUUCAUGGGGAGACAUCCAAAAUAUGCAAUGUUGAGGGUUCCUGGAAGUCCACAGUGCCAUCGUGAUAGACAGAUAAAAAUCCAUGUCCUUCUUUCUUCAGUUGAAAAGAAAUUAAGGUUUUUGAUGAAAACAUUCCAGGAUUAUUCUCCUUAUAGUGGACUUCAAUGGUCUCCAAACAUUUGAAGGUCAAAAUUACACUAUCAGUGCAGCUUCAAAGGGCUUUAAACAAUACCAGACGAGGAAUAAGGGUCUUAUCUAGCGAAACGAUCGGUCAUUUUCAAAAAAAAAAAAAAAAACUGUAUAUGCAUUAUAAACACAAAUGAUCGCAUUUCAAGUGGUUCCACCAUUCCGCCUUCCGUAUUCUUUGAAAAGCUUACGCUGUAUGUCCUACGCCUUCCCUAUUCAACUUACGGAACGAACGUGGCGCCAGUUCCGUUUUUUUCAGUAAGUA